AAGUCGUAACAAGGUUUCCGUAGGUGAACCUGCGGAAGGAUCAUUCUCGAGUUCCUAUACUCAUAUUCUAUCCUGUGUUGUUGACUCUUGGGUGGUGGCUGUAACCGGCCAUCGCCCUUCUUAUAAACAUCCAUAUUGAUUGUUUGGUAAUACAUACUUUAAUAACUUAAAACAACUGUUGACAACGGAUCACUCGGCUCUCGU
rnacentral:misc_RNA from 1 species